UGGGAAAUUUUGGACAAUGGGCGAAAGCCUGAUCCAGCAAUGCCGCGUGUGUGAAGAAGGCCUUCGGGUUGUAAAGCACUUUUGUCCGGAAAGAAAUCCUUGGCUCUAAUACAGUCGGGGGAUGACGGUACCGGAAGAAUAAGCACCGGCUAACUACGUGCCAGCAGCCGCGGUAAUACGUAGGGUGCAAGCGUUAAUCGGAAUUACUGGGCGUAAGCGUGCGCAGGCGGUUUGCUAAGACCGAUGUGAAAUCCCCGGGCUCAACCUGGGAACUGCAUUGGUGACUGGCAGGCUAGAGUAUGGCAGAGGGGGGUAGAAUUCCACGUGUAGCAGUGAAAUGCGUAGAGAUGUGGAGGAAUACCGAUGGCGAAGGCAGCCCCCUGGGCCAAUACUGACGCUCAUGCACGAAAGCGUGGGGAGCAAACAGGAUUAGAUACCCUGGUAGUCCACGCCCUAAACGAUGUCAACUAGUUGUUGGGGACUUCAUUUCCUUAGUAACGUAGCUAACGCGUGAAGUUGACCG
rnacentral:rRNA from 1 species